CCUACGGGUGGCUGCAGUGAGGAAUAUUGGUCAAUGGACGAUAGUCUGAACCAGCCAAGUAGCGUGAAGGAUGACUGCCCUAUGGGUUGUAAACUUCUUUUAUAUGGGAAUAAAAUGUACCAUGUGUGGGAUUUUGUAUGUACCAUAUGAAUAAGGAUCGGCUAACUCAGUGCCAGCAGCCGCGGUAAUACGGAGGAUCCGAGCGUUAUCCGGAUUUAUUGGGUUUAAAGGGAGCGUAGGUGGAUUGUUAAGUCAGUUGUGAAAGUUUGCGGCUCAACCGUAAAAUUGCAGUUGAAACUGGCAGUCUUGAGUACAGUAGAGGUAGGCGGAAUUCGUGGUGUAGCGGUGAAAUGCUUAGAUAUCACGAAGAACUCCGAUUGCGAAGGCAGUUCACUGGACUGCAACUGACACUGAGGCUCGAAAGUGUGGGUAUCAAACAGGAUUAGAUACCCUUGUAGUC
rnacentral:rRNA from 1 species